rnacentral:antisense_RNA from 1 species
CUUCAGCGAGCCCAGCCACAACGGCCGCCCCGGCUCCCGCCCCUGACCGUACGUCGCCAGCAGCGCCUGCGCCUC